UACGGAGGGGGCUAGCGUUGUUCGGAAUUACUGGGCGUAAAGCGCACGUAGGCGGCUUUGUAAGUUAGAGGUGAAAGCCCGGAGCUCAACUCCGGAACUGCCUUUAAGACUGCAUCGCUUGAACGUCGGAGAGGUAAGUGGAAUUCCGAGUGUAGAGGUGAAAUUCGUAGAUAUUCGGAAGAACACCGGUGGCGAAGGCGACUUACUGGACGACUGUUGACGCUGAGGUGCGAAAGCUAGGGGAGCAAACAGG
rnacentral:rRNA from 1 species